CAGAAUAAAGACCACCAGGAGUUCUGGGAUGAAUAACCUAAUCAACAUAGCCAUCAAGGUUUUUGUCUGCUAAAGAUGGAAGGUCCAGUGAUCAACAGCAGGAAGCAGGAAGCACUGUCUACAUACAGAAAACAGGAUCUUGCUGUAGGCGUGGGUUUAAAACAAAAGGACACCGAUUAAAGAAAAAAGACUGCUCUUUUUGAUCUUAAAAUUAUUGAUCUUGUCAGUUACAGACUGUGUCCAUUUAAAUCUGCAAUAACUAUUAAUGUUACCACCAUAAUGCUGACCAUUUUAAGUCAA